CCUACGGGGGGCUGCAGUCGAGAAUUUUUCACAAUGGGGGAAACCCUGAUGGAGCGACGCCGCGUGGAGGACGAAGGCCCUCGGGUUGUAAACUCCUGUCAUGCGGGAACAAGAAAGUGAUAGUACCGCAAGAGGAAGAGACGGCUAACUCUGUGCCAGCAGCCGCGGUAAUACAGAGGUCUCAAGCGUUGUUCGGAUUCAUUGGGCGUAAAGGGUGCGUAGGUGGCGAAGUAAGUCUGGGGUGAAAUCUCGGGGCUCAACCUCGAAAUUGCAUUGGAUACUGCAUCGCUAGAGGAUUGUAGAGGAGAGUGGAAUUCACGGUGUAGCAGUGAAAUGCGUAGAUAUCGUGAGGAAGACCAGUUGCGAAGGCGACUCUCUGGGCAAUUCCUGACACUGAGGCACGAAGGCCAGGGGAGCAAACGGGAUUAGAUACCCUAGUAGUC
rnacentral:rRNA from 1 species